rnacentral:rRNA from 1 species
AACGAAUUUGAUUAAGUUUAGUGGCGGACGGGUGAGUAACGCGUGAGUAACCUGCCUCUAAGAGGGGAAUAACAUUCUGAAAAGAAUGCUAAUACCGCAUAAUAUAUAUUUAUCGCAUGGUAGAUAUAUCAAAGAUUUAUCGCUUAGAGAUGGACUCGCGUCCGAUUAGUUAGUUGGUGAGGUAACGGCUCACCAAGACCGCGAUCGGUAGCCGGACUGAGAGGUUGAACGGCCACAUUGGGACUGAGACACGGCCCAGACUCCUACGGGAGGCAGCAGUGGGGGAUAUUGCGCAAUGGGGGAAACCCUGACGCAGCAACGCCGCGUGAAGGAUGAAGGUCUUCGGAUUGUAAACUUCUUUUAUUAAGGACGAAGAAAGUGACGGUACUUAAUGAAUAAGCUCCGGCUAACUACGUGCCAGCAGCCGCGGUAAUACGUAGGGAGCAAGCGUUGUCCGGAUUUACUGGGUGUAAAGGGUGCGUAGGCGGCUUUGCAAGUCAGAUGUGAAAUCUAUGGGCUCAACCCAUAGCCUGCAUUUGAAACCGCAGAGCUUGAGUGAAGUAGAGGCAGGCGGAAUUCCCCGUGUAGCGGUGAAAUGCGUAGAGAUGGGGAGGAACACCAGUGGCGAAGGCGGCC